AGGGAUAUAGCUCAGUGGUAGAUCACGUGCUUGGCAUGCCCGAGAUCCUGGGUUCAAUCCUCAGUGCCUCUG
rnacentral:tRNA from 1 species